ACGCGAUCCGUGUGAAUCUAAAAGAAUCCAAAGACUCUGUUAGAAUUCUUUUUUUAACCGUGGGGAGUGAAAUUGGAGGGAGAAGAGGGGAGAAGCCGUAUUUACCUUGCGCCAAACUGAUAAUAGAAGUCCUGAAGGAGCAAUGCAGCGAUGAACCCGCUCUAAAGAAGAAAAAUGGCUUGUCUUGUGUGCUCGUCCGGCCAACUCUGGCGAAAAGGGAAGGGACUACAAACUCGUCAAGGUUCUCCCGCUUUUUCCAACCCCUUCCCGCUCGUUCGAUCUCUCGUUUCCUCCACCGUUGCCAGUUUAUAUUCCGCCUCGAGAGCACGUGUGUGUGUUGUUUCCUCCUCUUUGUAAUGUUCUCUCCCCCCCUCUCUCUCUCUCUCUCCUCCCUUCGUCUCUUCCUUCGUCUUCGUCUCACCGUUCCUCUUCCUUCCUUUUCGUCUUCUUCCUCUUCUCCUUCUUCUUUUUUCGCUUUUUCCUCCUCGUUUUCUUCCGAAUGGUGAGCCUUUUCGCCUGACAAUCGACGGCGGCGCCCUCUACGCCGCGGCACGCACUCUCACGGAAGGUCAGAAGUCGUUAUCACCUCCUCGAGUUUUCCCACUUGCUAGCCACAUCGCCCUGGGCCCUGCACCCGCCCUCCUCCACCGGCUGCUCAACCACCACCACCACCACCAUCUGGAACAGAGAGAAAAUGGGGCCGUUUUAGGGAUCAGUUAUCGUUCAGGGAUUAUUGUGGGUGCGGAUAUCGCUUCAAGGAUCUUAUCGUCCAUCUUUUAUUGUCCCAGAUUUUAUUGCGAAGAGAACGCUUGCGAAGGGAGUGGAAAACGGUUUCGUGUGAUACAAAGUUUCGAUACAAUUCGCAAGAGGAAUUUUGCUGCAAUAUCGUGUACUCGGUUUACGUUUUAACGUAACUGAUUCGAAUAGAAUUAUACUAGUGGAUUUUACGAGUUAAUAAUCUUUUCGAUUAUCAAGAAAUACGAAGGAGAGACGAGUGUUUAUUAACACUUUACGUUCCGCGUGGAGAAAACGGGAAUAGAUUUCACUACGAAAUGAUUUUUAUUAUCGUGAUUUAGAGCUUGGACUUUGAAGUGUCGAGAAAGGAAGAAAAAGAAGAAAGGAACGUAAUAUCUUUCGAAACGGAAUGGCGGGUGUUCGCCGGAGGAUCGCGAAGCACGUUGCUCUUAAAAUGCGCGCGCGUUUCUCUUGGAAGCCGGAAAAUUAAUUUUCACGGAAUAAUCGCGGGCAAAGUGGAACGCGCGGCCAAACGAACGAUCUAACGAUCCUGACAAAUACGUCGCCAAUUUGAUUAAUUUAAUACGAUUUCUCCCGAUAUAUCUCUCGAAUUUUCACUUUCGAUACUUCGACGAUCCUUUAAUAACAUUCUCAAAAUAUACAUUCUCGAUAUACGUAGUACAAUUAAACAAAAAAAAAUUGAAUGCCUAAUGGAUCUAUAUCGCGAUUAAACGUCUGCAUGCAAUUACGACACGAAAAAGAAUCAAGCGGUAAAUUUUCCUUCUUAUUUUCGUCGCUGCAACACGUUCCAAUAAUCCCCACGAUACGUAAUUUGCCGUGCGAGCUGUUAUUACACAAAAAUAAAUUAGUUUUCGAGAAAGCUUAAGCGAGUUCUUAAUCGAUCGCUAUAUUUCUCGUCACUUUUACGAAGGAAUGGGGAAAAAAAAAAAAUUCUCUCUCGAAGAUGGAAGAAGGAAGAUCCGUUUAUUACAACGUAAUAAUAAUAACAAUAACAAUAAUCGCGUUCGAGGGCAGGAUUGGAGGCGUCGAGCAGCGUCGAGCCAGCCCAUAAAUAGAAGGGUAAAUACCCUAUAAAUCAGCGGUUGUGGCCUCGAUCGAGCGGGCAAAAGGAAAAGCGGGGCUCAGUUUUCGUGCUCGACGGCCCUGAACGCGUCAGAGGAAAGCGUACAGAGACGGGCGUGCAACCGAGGGUUUCACGGUAUUUUUAAUUUCACCCUCUGUGCGAUGGUCGUGCGAGGCGCACGCGCGCCAUCUCCGCGUCGUGCAGGAACCGCGUUCGUUUGCGCGUGGUGGUGGCCGGCGGCUACUGCUCGCGAGGAGAUGGGACAAAGAGGAGAGGAGCUCGACGCAUCGACCUCUUACGCAUGCGAACACACCGCGCCACGGACGGAUAUACGGACGAUCCACCUCGACCUACGUCAAUGCUGCGAGAUUAAACUGUGGCACAGUGGCGCCCCCCUCCCCUCUUCCAUCUCUGUGCCCAAACUCGGGGACUCGCCUGUGUCAAUCCCCCCUCCCCUCUCCGUAGUCUAAGGCUAUUUUAAGAUCCGCAAUUGGCACGAGGUAUGUCGAAGGGGCUCGAAGGAAUUAUUUCGAAAAGUGGAUAAUGAGAAUCGGAUAGAAGGACCAAGGUUUAAAAUUAAUUUGAAACAGGACUCGAUUGGAUCUGUUAUUUUAAAAGUAUGUAUAUAUAGAUAUUACGGUUACGGGGAAUUUUGGAGAAGCGCAAACUCGGAGAGAGGAGUAUUUCGCGUAUUUCAACCUACCUCCCCGUCGUUUCUAGAUCGAAUCUCGGUGAAUCUGGGGGAAAUGGCGGGGGAUGAACCUUGGGGAUAAGCGAUCUUUUUAAAAUUAUUGCGAAAGAUAGAUCUCGGCUACAAAAGCGGGCGACGACGAAACGAAGAGACGGACAGCCCGAAUAUCGACGAUGGCAAUUCACACACAAUGGCCGGAUAAAUUACGAAACGUUUAUCAAAGAUCGAGACGAGAUCUAGAAUUUAAAAAGAAAGGGGGGAAAAAAAAAGAACGUUCGACGAAUUCCUUUUUCUUCGCCAUUGUCUCUCUGCGAAAGAGAAAAGAACAGCUUUAUAUUAUCGCAUCUCGAAUGUUUUUCUCUUUUAAGAAACCGUAUGCAAAGUAUCCUGUUGCACCGAAUUGUUAUUUUUGCAUAAGUUAAAAAAAAAUAAAAAAGAAGAAGAGACAGAACCUCGCGUUUUCGCUGCUAGCGUUAAAUAAAUUCCGUGAUAUCGCGUUUCAAAAAAAAAAAAAAAAGAAAA